AAACUCAAAGGAAUUGACGGGGACCCGCACAAGCGGUGGAUGAUGUGGAUUAAUUCGAUGCAACGCGAAAAACCUUACCUACCCUUGACAUGUCUGGAACUUGUGAGAGAUCACUUGGUGCCUUCGGGAGCCAGAACACAGGUGCUGCAUGGCUGUCGUCAGCUCGUGUCGUGAGAUGUUGGGUUAAGUCCCGCAACGAGCGCAACCCUUGUCAUUAGUUGCCAUCAUUUAGUUGGGCACUCUAAUGAGACUGCCGGUCGACAAACCGGACGGAAGGUAGGGGAGUGACGGUCAAGU
rnacentral:rRNA from 1 species